GCCAGCAGCCCUAUCACCCUGCAGCUCCCAGCUGCCAGCCUAAUGAAGCCCAGCGGGUGUGAGCCUGGCCAGUACUAGGAUGGGAGACUCCUGGGAAAACUAAGGUUGCUGCUGGAA
rnacentral:rRNA from 1 species